GGAUUCCUUUUGUCAAGGGCCCGGGAAAAUUGAGUCAUGGCACAAGCGUUGCUCAACGGUGCCGAGUUAAGUCAAACUAAUGUUGACCGCCGAUUUAGAUCCGACCUAGCUAGCGCCAAUAUUGUUGCUACCUGCCUGCCUUAUUCGAUCAAUCGACGGUUGGACGAAGGCCCCACGCGCAAAUAGGAUCAUACAUACAGUAUAUCAUAGUAUUGUUAUCUUGUUGCGUAUAUAUCCUUUUCUAUCAGGGCUUCGGGUUAUCAGGAUACGGAGACCCGUGUGCAUAUCCUCGAUCGUGACGUAGAUCGAUAUGGGCGAUGCUGGUGAAAUUCGUCUGCAGAUCGCAGGUCCCUCUCUCGCUCUCCAUCUUGAAUUCUUCAUACUGCAAUCUUGUCGUGCAUGGUGACCAAAUUGCAGGCUGGUACAGGAGGCGAAGAAAAAGCUCGAGGAGUAGCUGGCAAUGGCACGUCCGCGGCAACCGCGGCGCCGCCGACGAUGUCGGAACGCGUACAUUGGUGGGCGGUGGUGCUCGUCAACAUCNN
rnacentral:lncRNA from 1 species